AGAAAUCACAGGAGCUGCAAAGACCCAACAGAGUACUGGUUUAGAAGACAGUGAACAGCAUAAACACAAAAGCGUAUAACGUGAAAGGUACCCAGGAGUAAGGACCUGUAAUAAUGUGAAGAAUGAGAACAGCAUAUGAGCAGCAGACAGCAUUCCCCUCUACAACCCGGCUAAGAAUCCUUCCGCUAGCAAUCAUCGCAGAGAAAUAUUCAUGCUCUAAAGAAACACAAGUGGCAAUAGAUUAACAUUGCUGGUGGAACAGCAAAACAAGCACAGAAGCACACCGUCUCCUUUUUGGACACCAUCCCCCAAAUGCUGCCUGGAGAGCUGACGAGCAGUGCACCUGAGGCCAGCAUGACCCCUCUGGUGAGGGGAGGAGAUUCUAGAAGUUGCAGCUGUAGGAAACGCAUGCAAGGAAAGGUUACAGCAAACCAGGCCAUCACAGCGAAGCAGAAUCAUCUCUAAAAAUCAGGUCAGUCUUUUCUUCCAUACAUGUGCAUUUGGUUAAGAGCACAAACAAACUGGCACUGUGGUGGAAUAGUAAACAUUAAGGGUGACUCUUGGGUCUUGUGGCUCUUCCAGAGCUGUGCUGCCAAGUUCCCUCAGUGCUGUGGGGCAGAUGUGGUCAGGGGGAGGUGAAACAUCUCUCAGCUGAGGAAUGAUCAGCCUGGAGCCCAGAGCUCUUUCAGAGCAUGGGCUGCUGCUCAGAAAUCCUUCCUGUUCCCUACACGGCAUCUACACGGCAUACACAAGACUAAUGCCUGAGGCAAACCAGAGCCUGUGUGCAGCACUUACCUGCAGCUUUGCUCUCACCUGCAGUGUACCUGUUACACGCCAGUCCUUUGUGGAGAAUUUCCAGUUCAAUGCCUGUCAAGUUACCAACAGCAGCAGACUGAGGUGUCACUUUCCAGGGCAACAUUUUGUUGCACAGACAUGUAAGUCAGAUCAAGUCCUGAGCAACCUCAAAGCCACUGAGGAAUGAAUGAAUAAAUAAAUAAAGCAGCAUCUAAUGAAAGCAACAAGCAUUGAGAGUGGCAACUCCUACCUGUUCUGCUACAAAAAAAAUCCUUUUGUUAACAUUAAUAUUUGGCAGCUGGUGUAGAACACACAAGGGCAUUUUAGUUGGGUUUUAAAGAAAGAAAUUGACACAGAAAGAAGGCAAUGAUUUUUUUAAUAGAGGAUCUCUCCGGGGGGUUUGUGUUCAUAUCACCAAUAUUCACUUUAUUACAUUUUAUGGAAUGGAGUUUAAAUGCCAGUAUAUACAAGCCAACAUUUCAUUAUUGGAGUUUGUGUUUAUUCACUUGCUAUUGUCAGUCCGUUCCCCUUUGUCUUUUUGUGCUGCUCUUUGUAAAAUCUAUGAUUUAUGAAUAUGUGGCUUAGAUCCUUCACAAUAUAGUGUGUUGGAGUGGUUCAAUAAAAAGUUAUUAAAGUAAAAAAAAAAAAUCUAUAGUUUGAUGUGCUUUGCCCACCUUCUAUAGCAAGUCCCACUGCAUGUAUGAGGCUGUAACAUGGACUACACGCUGAGAGGCCUCGGUCAGCCAAAACUCCUGCUGACUAGCAGCCAGUGCAGGCAAUUAUGGUUUUGCCUACAAAACUGCGGGAUUACACCCUCAAAUUUAUGAAAGUUGCAUAGACUAAAAAGAGGGAAAAAAAUCUGCCAUAAAACAUUCAUUUUAAAAUCCAGUAGCCUAAAGAUACAUAGCACCAAAUGCCAUUUGGUUCCCAAAGAUUCAGUGUUUGAAGCGUGCACCACGUAUUCAACUUAUUUCUGUAACGGAGCUCUCAGUCCUGCUAGUUGCCGAAUGAGUAAAGCCAACUGGCAGUCUCCAUAGCCCACUUAGAACAUGAAUUGCUGCAGAAACUUAGUGUUUUUUUCAGCCUCAAAUAGAGAGUAAAAGAUUGAUUUGGAUCAUCGUACCCUGGCUCCCCAUGCAUGUUUUUUUUCCCCAGCAGUACUGCUGACUCACCGCAGCUGCAGAGCCAUACAAACAGGGGACAAGAAAUUGGCCGCUCUUGUUUACGGCUGGCAAGAAACAAGAGCUGCUCAUAAGGCACUCUCCAGAGUGAAGAGGAAUCUAUUUGUGAGGAAGACAUGGAGAUAGCAGAAUCUGCUCAACUGCAGCACAACAGCAAACAGCACAACAGUAAGAGUAGUAGAUAGAUUACAAAACAGUUCUGCUGCCUGUAGUUCCUGCUCCCAAAUCUCUGAAAAAACACAGCUCUACCAACGAAGAGCCCCUCCACCUGUCUCAGGGAUGGGUAACUUCAGCAAGCGAGGAUUACUUCAGUGAGUCAGCCAGGCAUUACAAACAGCGAGGCACACAACCGCGCUGCUGCCAGCAGCGCUGAAAUCACUGCUCUGGCACCGCAGCAUCCCCAGGACAAGGAAGCGCCACGCGCAGGAGCCCUUCCUCUAUGCACAGCACACUGCUGCCUUUGGGUUCACUUCCUUGAACAGAGGAGCUAUUGAGUCAGCCGUCACGGUCCCUCUGUUGCUGUUAUCUCUUGCAAACAAAGAACAUCAUCUAUAAUCCUACAUCCUCUUAGAAACUAGAAGGUUCCAACCUACUCCAGGUUACCAGGAUAAUUUUGCCGCCUCUAGUAGUCCGUGGCCUGCCACAUGCAGUCCUGUGCACCCAUCCCUGGCCAGAUGAGAGGCUGCAUGCUGGAAUGGAGAGCCAGUACAAGCCCAAGGGCCCAGCAGAGCCACUCAGCUGAACAAGCAAGUGUCCAGAGUCAAUGUCGCUACUGCUGAAGCACGAAGGCUUUGCAUCUAAUGUACCCCACACGCUGUUCUGCUCCAUACCUCAGGAAUCACAACAGAGCAUUUUGUCCACGGCGGAUUCACUGAGGUCAGAUACCUAGAGGCUCGCUGGCAGGAUCCCU